rnacentral:tRNA from 1 species
UUGCUGUUAGCUUAGAUGGUAGAGCGUCUGGGAAUACCGGAAGGCGCGGAUUCGAGUUCCGCACGGCAAACCA